rnacentral:pre_miRNA from 1 species
AAUAAGUUCAUUUUUUAGUUUUUAGAUACAAUGUUUUGACUCUUCGUCUUAUUUAAUUUUUUUUUGUGAUUAAUAUUUUUAUUGCUACUAGAUGAUAAAACAUGAAUAACACUUUACGCGUGACUAAUUUUUUUAAGAUUUUGUACAAAUUUUUCAAAUAAGACGAAUGGUCAAAACGUUGGACACAUAAAUCGAAAAAUGAAGUUAUU